rnacentral:rRNA from 1 species
UUGAACGCUGGCGGCAUGCCUUACACAUGCAAGUCGAACGGCAGCACGGGUGCUUGCACCUGGUGGCGAGUGGCGAACGGGUGAGUAAUACAUCGGAACAUGUCCUGUAGUGGGGGAUAGCCCGGCGAAAGCCGGAUUAAUACCGCAUACGAUCUACGGAUGAAAGCGGGGGACCUUCGGGCCUCGCGCUAUAGGGUUGGCCGAUGGCUGAUUAGCUAGUUGGUGGGGUAAAGGCCUACCAAGGCGACGAUCAGUAGCUGGUCUGAGAGGACGACCAGCCACACUGGGACUGAGACACGGCCCAGACUCCUACGGGAGGCAGCAGUGGGGAAUUUUGGACAAUGGGCGAAAGCCUGAUCCAGCAAUGCCGCGUGUGUGAAGAAGGCCUUCGGGUUGUAAAGCACUUUUGUCCGGAAAGAAAUCCUUGGCUCUAAUACAGUCGGGGGAUGACGGUACCGGAAGAAUAAGCACCGGCUAACUACGUGCCAGCAGCCGCGGUAAUACGUAGGGUGCGAGCGUUAAUCGGAAUUACUGGGCGUAAAGCGUGCGCAGGCGGUUUGCUAAGACCGAUGUGAAAUCCCCGGGCUCAACCUGGGAACUGCAUUGGUGACUGGCAGGCUAGAGUAUGGCAGAGGGGGGUAGAAUUCCACGUGUAGCAGUGAAAUGCGUAGAGAUGUGGAGGAAUACCGAUGGCGAAGGCAGCCCCCUGGGCCAAUACUGACGCUCAUGCACGAAAGCGUGGGGAGCAAACAGGACUAGAUACCCUGGUAGUCCACGCCCUAAACGAUGUCAACUAGUUGUUGGGGAUUCAUUUCCUUAGUAACGUAGCUAACGCGUGAAGUUGACCGCCUGGGGAGUACGGUCGCAAGAUUAAAACUCAAAGGAAUUGACGGGGACCCGCACAAGCGGUGGAUGAUGUGGAUUAAUUCGAUGCAACGCGAAAAACCUUACCUACCCUUGACAUGGUCGGAAUCCUGCUGAGAGGCGGGAGUGCUCGAAAGAGAACCGGCGCACAGGUGCUGCAUGGCUGUCGUCAGCUCGUGUCGUGAGAUGUUGGGUUAAGUCCCGCAACGAGCGCAACCCUUGUCCUUAGUUGCUACGCAAGAGCACUCUAAGGAGACUGCCGGUGACAAACCGGAGGAAGGUGGGGAUGACGUCAAGUCCUCAUGGCCCUUAUGGGUAGGGCUUCACACGUCAUACAAUGGUCGGAACAGAGGGUUGCCAACCCGCGAGGGGGAGCUAAUCCCAGAAAACCGAUCGUAGUCCGGAUUGCACUCUGCAACCCGAGUGCAUGAAGCUGGAAUCGCUAGUAAUCGCGGAUCAGCAUGCCGCGGUGAAUACGUUCCCGGGUCUUGUACACACCGCC